rnacentral:rRNA from 1 species
UACGUAGGGCGCAAGCGUUAUCCGGAAUUCUUGGGCGUAAAGAGCUCGUAGGCGGUUUGUCGCGUCUGCCGUGAAAGUCCGGGGCUCAACUCCGGAUCUGCGGUGGGUACGGGCAGACUAGAGUGAUGUAGGGGAGACUGGAAUUCCUGGUGUAGCGGUGAAAUGCGCAGAUAUCAGGAGGAACACCGAUGGCGAAGGCAGGUCUCUGGGCAUUAACUGACGCUGAGGAGCGAAAGCAUGGGGAGCGAACAGG